rfam:Schistosoma mansoni strain Puerto Rico chromosome 7, complete genome
AUCCAGCUAAAGUGUCCCAAAUAAGACGAAACGCGCGUCAAACUAGAU